GCCGGUGUAGCUCAGUUGGUAGAGCAACGCAUUCGUAAUGCGUGGGUCCGCGGUUCAAGUCCGCGCACCGGCUCCA
rnacentral:tRNA from 2 species